UAGCUCAGUUGGGAGAGCAUCUGCCUUACAAGCAGAGGGUCACAGGUUCAAGUCCUGU
rnacentral:tRNA from 1 species